UGUGAAGUCGAGAGCUUAGAAUACCCCCAUCAGUACCAUGUGUUGAAUUUUCCUAUACGACUUGAAAUACUAAAGCUUCAUUUAUCAAAAGCCUUUAAAACCACUCCCUUUUGCAUCUCUGCACCAAAUCUCAAAUACCUGAAAUUCUCUGGCUUUUACCUGAAUUCUCAAUACUUAUCAGAAACUGCUGAUCAUCUCAAGCAUCUUGAGGUACUCAAACUGUACCACGUUGAAUUUGGUGAUCAUGGGGAAUGGAAAGUGAGCAGUGGCAAGUUCCUUAAACUCAAAAUCUUGAAACUAGAAUAUGUGUCCUUGAUGAAAUGGGUUGUAGCUGAUGAUGCCUUUCCUAACCUUGAACAAUUGGUUUUGCUUGGAUGUGAAGAUCUUAUAGAGAUCCCUUCUUGUUUCAUGAACAUCCUUUCUCUCAAGUGCAUUGAGGUAGACAUCUGCAACAAGUCUGUUGUAAGUCAGCCAAGGAUAUACAAGAAACACAAGUCGAAUAUAAUCAAAAUACUAAUUUCAAGCUCGUCAUCAUCAAGAAAAUGGUGUUGAAAUUCAAUACAUCUCCUGAUGAAGAGAUAGUUAAAAGAUUAUCCUCUCUUCCAGGGAUAAAAUCAAUUUCAAUUAAUAGGAGAGAAAAGAAACUUACUGUGGGUGGAGAUGUGGAUGCUGAUGAAGUUUGAUUGGUUGUGGGCAAACUAAGCAAGCGUGACAUGCUGUAAUGAAAUGCUGAGCUCUGGUGAACUCAGCCAUGAUGGAUUUCCAGAAAAUGACAAGGUUGUAGUCCCAACUUAUCAACACAAAUGUGUGCUAUAGUCCUUUUGCUUACUGAAGUACUGUAAUACCAAUUCAUGAUACACACACAAACAUUAACUGUAGGAUCAGCAAAAGAUGGCACUGAGAAAAUAAAUGUAGAGUCAAGUUGGGUUAUGACCAAAGUAAAGUCUGGAUGAGUCAAUAAUCUGCUGAUUUAUAAUUAGUUCAACCCAUUGUAAUUUGUUCAAAUUCAACUCAAAAUGCCCAUUUAUCACCUCUAACUGAUGACUACAUCUGCAAAGUUAAUGGUUUUGUUGAUAAAUUUCAAAGCAAGGUUGAGGAACUAGUUACUUAAGCUAGGACCUAAGGUUUUUAUCCAUUUUCAACUGUGAUUUUUGUUGAAUGGUAAAUGGAUACUUUUAAGGCAGUUCUCACACAAAGUAAAUAUCUAUAUAAAAAGAAAAAAACAGUUUUAAUUAUUUAUUGGCCGUAAACUAAAAUCUGUAUUAUUUGUUAUGUCUGCUUUACUUCUGUAUUUUGAACUGCUUUGAUAUGCGUUACUUGAGCCGAGGAUCUUUUGGAAACAGUGCAUCUACCUCUAUGUAAGGGUAAUAAGAUUUGCACACACUCUACCUACCGCAGACCCGUAUCUGUGAGAUCACAUUGGGUAUGGUGUUGGUUGUGAUCUUAAACUAAAAUGUGUAUUCCUGGAGCUAAAAAUUUGACAUCAAAAAGAGAAAGAUCAUAACUUUGUGGGAUCGUUUGUUUAUGUAAGUUUUGUAGCUCUAAAUAUUCUGGAGUCUGGACAACUAUAACUAUAUUUUUUGAGCUAUUAACUCAUUGAGUUAUUCUUU